UACGGAGGGUGCGAGCGUUGUCCGGAAUCAUUGGGCGUAAAGGGCGCGUAGGUGGCCUGCUAAGCGUGCGGUGAAAGCUCGGGGCUCAACCCCGAGUCGGCCGUGCGAACUGGUGGGCUUGAGCACUGUAGAGGCAGGCGGAAUUCCGGGUGUAGCGGAUGAAUGCGUAGAGAAUCGGAAAGAACACCAACGGCGAAAGCACUCUGCUGGGCCGACACUGACACUGGAGAGACGAAAGCUAGGGGAGCGAAUGGG
rnacentral:rRNA from 1 species